rnacentral:rRNA from 1 species
UAGGGAAUCUUCCGCAAUGGACGCAAGUCUGACGGAGCAACGCCGCGUGAGUGAAGAAGGAUUUCGGUUCGUAAAACUCUGUUGUUAGAGAAGAACAGCGCAUAGAGUAACUGUUAUGCGUGUGACGGUAUCUAACCAGAAAGCCACGGCUAACUACGUGCCAGCAGCCGCGGUAAUACGUAGGUGGCAAGCGUUGUCCGGAUUUAUUGGGCGUAAAGCGAGCGCAGGCGGUCAAUUAAGUCUGAUGUGAAAGCCCCCGGCUCAACCGGGGAGGGUCAUUGGAAACUGGUUGACUUGAGUGCAGAAGAGGAGAGUGGAAUUCCAUGUGUAGCGGUGAAAUGCGUAGAUAUAUGGAGGAACACAAGUGGCGAAGGCGACUCUAUGGUCUGUAACUGACGCUGAGGCUCGAAAGCGUGGGUAGCAAACAGG